CCAGAUCUGGCCUAAAUUUCAUGCCUUUAUCACUUCUUUUUGACCCUGAGGAAACCAUGUUUUAGUUCCACAUUUGGAGAAGAGGUGCCUUCUGACGACAUCUCUUCUAUAUUCAGGGAACCGAAUCUCUAGGUUAGGUUUAUGACAAAUUGGUCAAUGGACAGAUCAGAAAUUUUCUAGGACUUCUAGACCCAUUCAUCUGAAGGCAAGGCUCUGAUGGCUUUUCAAAGAGACCUGAUUCUCUCAGACCUAAAUAAAGAGG